rnacentral:rRNA from 1 species
UACGGAGGGGGCUAGCGUUGUUCGGAAUUACUGGGCGUAAAGCGCACGUAGGCGGACUGGAAAGUCAGGGGUGAAAUCCCGGGGCUCAACACCGGAACUGCGUUUGAAGCUCCCAGUCUUGAGGUCGAGAGAGGUGAGUGGAAUUCCGAGUGUAGAGGGGAAAUUCGUAGAUAUUCGGAGGAACACCAGUUGCGAAGGCGUCUCACUGGCUCGAUACUGACGCUGAGAUUCGAAUGCGUGGCGAGCAAAUAGG